GGAUGUGAGGGAGAUCUGGUUGCUACAUCUGUCACCCCAUUGAUCACCAGGGUUGAUUAGGCUGAUCUGGCUGACUAGGCAGGUGUCCCCCUUUCUCCCCUCACUGCUCCAUGUGAGUCCCUCCCGAAGCUGUGUGCUCUGUUGAAAAGGACAGCCUUCACCAAAUAGAGACGACGGGUCUUUGGUCAGAAGAAGCAUGUAGCUUUUCCUCUAGUCUUCUAUCUCUGUUGCUUUCUUUCUGUCUGGAGAGAAAGAGAGAGAGAAGAAGAGAAAGAGAGGUGCUGAGCAUUGAGGCCCAUGUGAUAACAAAAUCAUAAACUUGCCUUU
rnacentral:snRNA from 1 species